CCUUUAACACGGCGGUGCCACCUCCGCCCCUUCCCUUCCCUUCCCCUCCUCGGCAGCCCCCUCGCUCCUUCCUCCAAGCCCGGGGGAAGGCGAGCGGCGGCCGGAGCAGCCCUCGCUGCCCGCUGGAGCCGGCGGCCCGGUGGGGCGCGGCCAGUGCAUGAGGACAGCGGGCGGAGGCGCAGGAGAAGGAGGCGGAGGCGGCGGCGACUCCCUCCCGCCCGCCCGGGCACUGGCAGCCCCUGCCGCCGCCGCCGCCGCCUCCGCUACUCCUCGCCGGGGCCCGGGAGGCUGAGGCCGCCGCGUCGCGCCCGGGACAUGCGGCCUCCCCAGCCGCGGCCAUCGCCGAGGAGACGAAGGACAUGAGGCUCCGCAAUGGCACCUUCCUUACGCUGCUGCUCGGUUGCCUCUGCGCGCUCUUCUCGCUCUCCUGGUACGGGGCCUUCGGCGGGCACAAAGGUGAUGUUGUGGAUAUCUAUCAGCGAGAGUUCCUAGCACUAAGAGACCGCUUACAUGCUGCAGAACAGGAGAGCCUUAAGCGGUCCAAGGAGCUGAACCUAGUUCUAGAUGAAAUAAAGCGUGCCAUCUCUGAGAAGCAGGCCCUGCAGGACAUAAACCGGACGUGGAGCAGCUUAUCUGAUGAAACAAAAUUAAAACUGUGGAAUAUCACUAAUAAGAAUGUGCUGCAUCUCCCUACCAUCUUUCAUCAUUUGCCACAUUUGCUGUCAAAGGAGAACAGCCUGCAGCCUGCUGUACAUGUUGGUCAGGGGCGCACUGGCGUCUCCGUAGUGAUGGGAAUCCCCAGUGUCAAACGGGAGGUUCAUUCCUACCUUACAGAUACCCUAAACUCUUUGAUCUCAGAGCUCAACCAGCAGGAAAAAGAAGAUUCCGUCAUUGUGGUUCUGAUUGCUGAGACAGAUCCACAGUACACAACAGGAGUGGCAGAAAAUAUAAAAAACCAGUUCCCCAACGAAAUACAUUCUGGUCUUUUAGAAGUCAUUUCCCCUUCUCCACAUUUUUAUCCAGACUUUUCACGUCUUCGAGAAUCUUUCGGUGACCCCAAGGAGAGAGUCAGGUGGAGGACAAAGCAGAAUCUAGAUUACUGCUUUUUAAUGAUGUAUGCACAAUCCAAAGGCAUUUACUAUGUGCAGCUGGAAGAUGAUAUUGUAGCCAAACCAAACUAUCUCAGCACAAUGAAGAACUUCGCUCUGCAGCAGCCCUCUGAAGAAUGGAUGAUCCUGGAGUUCUCUCAGCUUGGGUUUAUUGGAAAGAUGUUUAAGUCACUGGAUCUCAGUCUGAUCGUGGAAUUUAUACUCAUGUUCUACAAGGACAAGCCCAUUGAUUGGCUGCUUGAUCACAUUCUUUGGGUGAAAGUCUGCAAUCCAGAGAAAGAUGCAAAACAUUGUGAUAGACAGAAAGCAAACCUGAGGAUCCGCUUCAAGCCCUCACUGUUCCAACAUGUGGGAACGCACUCCUCCCUGGCUGGCAAAAUACAGAAGCUAAAAGACAAAGAUUUUGGAAAGCAAGCUCUUAGGAAAGAACAUGUCAACCCUCCUGCAGAGGUGAGCACUAGCCUGAAAACCUACCAGCACUUCACCUUGGAGAAAGCAUAUAUGAGAGAAGAUUUCUUUUGGGCUUUUACCCCUACCUCGGGUGACUUCAUACGUUUCCGCUUCUUUAAGCCGCUACGCAUUGAACGGUUUUUCUUCCGCAGUGGCAACAUUGAGCACCCUGAAGACAAACUGUUCAACACAACAGUGGAAGUCUUGCCCUUUGAUAGUCUCCAGUCAGAUAAGGAAGCCCUGCAGGAGGGAAGAGGGACAGCAUUCAAGUACCACAGGACAUCUGACGGCUACAUACAGAUAGGAUCUUUUUCUAAAGGCAUUGCUGAAGGAGAAGUAGACCCUUCCUUUGGGCCUUUGGAAGCAAUACGACUGACCAUCCAGACGGACUCUCCUGUAUGGAUCAUCUUGAGUGAAGUAAUACUCUUUUCUGGAGGAACUAUUUCUUAGGAAUGUUUGUAGCAGAAGGUCUGCACUAGAUUCCUGAAGGGAAAGCCCAACAGCAAAGGAAAACUUUGAGCUGAAUUUUUUCUCUAUCUAGAUAUUCCUGAAGAAAGCUGACUGAAGUCUAAGAGCAGGAGAUGAGCACUAAGUGGUCAUUAGCUCUUCCCGCCUUCUUCCUCUCUUCUAUGAAACUGCAGACAUUGCAGAAAACAAAGGCAGCCUGUCCGUAAAGCAAAGGUGCGUGCUGAAGGCCACAGCUGCUCCAAGAACAGGAAGAAAACAUGUGGUGAAACUUGGCAGGACCUUGUGUUUCAUGACCACAGACUAGGAGAAGAGAAGCAUUUUUCACACACGGGUGCUAGACUGCAUUACAUGAAGACGCACCAGUGCUGGCAUAUCUUGCAUCUAGCUGCCUCUGCAGCUCCAGAAAGACACAGGGAGAUGAAAUUACUGUGUCAGAGAUUUUCAAUUUUUUGUUUCCUUGAGCAAGGACCACACUGUCCCCACUACUCUUCCUUCCCCCGGGUGUUGGUUCCUGAAUGUAUCACUGAGGUGUGCAUUUAGAAAUACAGGCUUAAAGAGUGAAAAGGCUAAAUUGAGAAGGCAACUUGACUGUGUCAGGCUCUUACAAGCUGCAGAGCAGCUCAGAGGUAUAUGUGGGAAGGGGAGGAGCAGAUUCCCACCCGUUUGUUUAAUAAAAACUGUUACUCCAGGCCAUGUCUGAGGAUUAAAUAUGAAGGGUAACAGGUCUGAAAGAAGAUGAAGUGCAGAGGUGACAGACAGCAUGGCAGGGAAAUAAUGAAACCACACUGUGCCUGCCAGGGUUGUACAUGGCCCCUUCAUACAAUACAGUUCAUGUUGAAGUCUCCAGUGUCUUCAUGCCUUGAGAAUGAGUGCAAAAGGCCACCCUUUUAAAUCCAUAUUUCCGUUAUUUACUGGUUGGUGUGAAUUUUGAAGAAAAACAUGUAGGCCAGGUCUCAAUUGGUAGGGAUUAGAGUGUAAUUUAAGAACAACAACAACCCUCCCCCCAAUGUCACUAGCUAUACACUGGAAUGCAUUAUACUACUUUAAUGUGCUGUAUUUUUUAUUAUUGGAUACAUUUGAUUUUUUCAAGUAUAUCUAUAUAAAAUAUAUAUUAAAAUGUGCAUUGUAAAAUUUUAA